GACGAACGCUGGCGGCGUGCCUAAUACAUGCAAGUAGAACGCUGAAGAGAGGGGCUUGCUCUUCUUGGAUGAGUUGCGAACGGGUGAGUAACGCGUAGGUAACCUGCCUGGUAGCGGGGGAUAACUAUUGGAAACGAUAGCUAAUACCGCAUAAAAUGGAUUAUCGCAUGAUAAUCCAUUGAAAGGUGCAAAUGCAUCACUACCAGAUGGACCUGCGUUGUAUUAGCUAGUUGGUGGGGUAACGGCUCACCAAGGCGACGAUACAUAGCCGACCUGAGAGGGUGAUCGGCCACACUGGGACUGAGACACGGCCCAGACUCCUACGGGAGGCAGCAGUAGGGAAUCUUCGGCAAUGGACGGAAGUCUGACCGAGCAACGCCGCGUGAGUGAAGAAGGUUUUCGGAUCGUAAAGCUCUGUUGUAAGAGAAGAACGAGUGUGAGAGUGGAAAGUUCACACUGUGACGGUAUCUUACCAGAAAGGGACGGCUAACUACGUGCCAGCAGCCGCGGUAAUACGUAGGUCCCGAGCGUUGUCCGGAUUUAUUGGGCGUAAAGCGAGCGCAGGCGGUUAGAUAAGUCUGAAGUUAAAGGCUGUGGCUUAACCAUAGUACGCUUUGGAAACUGUUUAACUUGAGUGCAAGAGGGGAGAGUGGAAUUCCAUGUGUAGCGGUGAAAUGCGUAGAUAUAUGGAGGAACACCGGUGGCGAAAGCGGCUCUCUGGCUUGUAACUGACGCUGAGGCUCGAAAGCGUGGGGAGCAAACAGG
rnacentral:rRNA from 1 species